AGGACGAACGCUGGCGGCGUGCUUAACGCAUGCAAGUCGAGCGAACCUUCGGGUUAGCGGCGAACGGGUGAGUAACACGUGGGCAACCUGCCCCGAGCUCUGGGAUAACCCCGGGAAACCGGGGCUAAUACCGGAUAUGACGCCAACAGACAUCUGUUGGUGUGGAAAGUUUUUCGGCUCGGGAUGGGCCCGCGGCCUAUCAGCUUGUUGGUGGGGUAACGGCCUACCAAGGCGACGACGGGUAGCC
rnacentral:rRNA from 1 species